AAUCAACGCUGGCGGCGUGCUUCAGACAUGCAAGUCGAACGCGAAAGUUUCCUUCGGGAAGCGAGUAGAGUGGCGCACGGGUGAGUAACACGUAAGUAAUCUACCUUUGGGUGGGGAAUAACUCAGGGAAACUUGAGCUAAUACCGCAUAAUGCAGCGGCUCCUUAUGGAGACAGUUGUUAAAGAAUUUAUUCGCCUAAA
rnacentral:rRNA from 1 species